rnacentral:rRNA from 1 species
UGAGCUUGAUCCUGGCUCAGGAUGAACGCUAGCGGCAGGCUUAACACAUGCAAGUCGAGGGGUAUAAGUCUUCGGAUUUAGAGACCGGCGCACGGGUGCGUAACGCGUAUGCAAUCUACCUUUUACAGAGGGAUAGCCCAGAGAAAUUUGGAUUAAUACCUCAUAGCAUUGCAGAAUGGCAUCAUUCAGCAAUUAAAGUCACAACGGUAAAAGAUGAGCAUGCGUCCCAUUAGCUAGUUGGUAAGGUAACGGCUUACCAAGGCUACGAUGGGUAGGGGUCCUGAGAGGGAGAUCCCCCACACUGGUACUGAGACACGGACCAGACUCCUACGGGAGGCAGCAGUGAGGAAUAUUGGACAAUGGGCGCAAGCCUGAUCCAGCCAUGCCGCGUGCAGGAUGACGGUCCUAUGGAUUGUAAACUGCUUUUAUACGAGAAGAAACACUGCUUCGUGAAGCAGCUGACGG